UCAUUAGAAUAUUUAAAAAUUUCGAAGACACCAAUAUAGAAUAAAACAUAACAAGCACUUAUAGACAGCUAUCUCACAAUGACAAAAACCUCACCACAAAACAAAUGCACACAUCUAAUCUUGAAUACAAUAAAUCAUGCAACUGAGAACAUGCUAAUACAUGUCCAAGCUGCAUCAUAUUUUGGCUUUAUGAGAAAGUUUGAGCAGAGGCAUGCAAGCUCAACCUUUUACGCAUUCACAACGUCUAAUAAUAUAUGACAUGCGUGUUCACAAAAAUCAAGGCAUGACCCCAAGUAUUUUCACCCCAAAUAGUGAAUAAUCAUUGUAUGAAUUUCCACUUACUACCACUAAAAAGUCUUUUAAGAAAAGGUCUAAUUUGACAACAGAGAUCAAGCCAUAU
rnacentral:lncRNA from 1 species